rnacentral:rRNA from 1 species
GACGAACGCUGGCGGCGUGCCUAAUACAUGCAAGUAGAACGCAGUUGCGAACGGGUGAGUAACGCGUAGGAACUGCCUGGUAGCGGGGGCUCACUAUUGGAACCGAUCGCUAAUACCGCAUACUACCAGAUGGACCUUCGUUGUAUUUGCUAGUUGGUGGGGUAACGGCUCACCAAGGCCACGCGUCAUAACCGCCCUGAGCGGGUGAUCGGCCAAACUGGGACUGAGACACGGCCCAGAGUCCUACGGGAGGCAGCAGUGGGGAAUCUUCGGCAAGGGACGAAAGUCUGACCGAGCAACGCCGCGUGAGUGAAGAAGGUUUUCGGAUCGUAAAACUCUGUUGUGAGAGAAGCGGUAUCUAACCAGAAAGCCACGGCUAACUACGUGCUAGCAGCCGCGGUAAUUC